AUACGUAGGGAGCGAGCGUUGUCCGGAAUUACUGGGCGUAAAGGGUGCGUAGGCGGCAUGGCAAGUCAGAUGUGAAAUCCCCGGGCUUAACUCGGGGGGUGCAUUUGAAACUGCUGUGCUUGAGUGCAGGAGAGGAAAGCGGAAUUCCUAGUGUAGCGGUGAAAUGCGUAGAUAUUAGGAGGAACACCAGUGGCGAAGGCGGCUUUCUGGACUGUAACUGACGCUGAGGCACGAAAGCGUGGGGAGCAAACAGGAUUAGAUACCCUGGUAGUCCACGCUGUAAACGAUGGAUACUAGGUGUGGGGGAGAUACAACCUCCGUGCCGGAGCAAACGCAAUAAGUAUCCCGCCUGGGGAGUACGGCCGCAAGGCUGAA
rnacentral:rRNA from 1 species